GACGUAGGGCGCGAGCGUUGUCCGGAUUUAUUGGGCGUAAAGAGCUCGUAGGCGGCUUGUCGCGUCGUCCGUGAAAACUCACAGCUCAACUGUGAGCUUGCGGUCGAUACGGGCAGGCUAGAGUUCGGUAGGGGAGACUGGAAUUCCUGGUGUAGCGGUGAAAUGCGCAGAUAUCAGGAGGAACACCGGUGGCGAAGGCGGGGUCUCUGGGCCGAUACUGACGCUGAGGAGCGAAAGCGUGGGGAGCGAACAGG
rnacentral:rRNA from 1 species